rnacentral:rRNA from 1 species
GGAUUGAACGCUGGCGGCAUGCCUAACACAUGCAAGUCGAACGGGAGUAGCAAUACUCUAGUGGCGGACGGGUGAGGAAUACGUAGGAAUUUGCCCUUAAGUGGGGGAUAACCCGGGGAAACCCGGAUUAAUACCGCAUGACCUCGAAAGAGCAAAGUGGGGGAUCGCAAGACCUCACGCUUUUGGAGAAGCCUACGUCGGAUUAGCUAGUUGGUGAGGUAAUGGCUCACCAAGGCGACGAUCCGUAACUGGUCUGAGAGGAUGAUCAGUCACACCGGAACUGAGACACGGUCCGGACUCCUACGGGAGGCAGCAGGUGGGAAUAUUGGAC